rnacentral:tRNA from 1 species
GCGGAAGUAGCUCAGUUGGUAGAGCACAACCUGCUAAGGUUGGGGUCGCGAGUUCGAGUCUCGUUUUCCGCU